GCGUGAAGUGUUUGUGAGUGUAGUAUUCUUGAAAGUUGGUGAAAUAGACACAUUACAGGAAACAUUCGAAGCAGACAUAUACAUAAAAGCAAGAUGGCGAGAAUGUACGUUUGAUCACGGCACAAACAAGUCUUUAGACGAAGCUUCCCAAUCAAAAAUGUGGAACCCUAAAAUUCAGAUCCAGAACAUCAUAGGCUCACCUAGAACACGGCUAUCAACGGAAGUAGAAUUUACAUCCGAGGGAGAGGCGUAUAUUAUAGAAACCAGAAGAAUUAAAGGGACAUUCUCAGAACAUCUGGAACUCCGUAAUUUCCCGUUUGAUGUUCAGGAUUUAUCUGUAUUAAUCACAACAGAAUUAACUGAUAAUAAAGUAAAUCUAUUGGAAGAUGAGAAGGAAUUAAGCCGAGUUAAUCCACGAGGAUUUCUGGAUUCACAAGAAUGGACGUUACGGGAUCACGUGAAAGCAACUCAAGAUGUCAAUUUGUCCCAUGAAAUAUUUGCUACCAAGAAAAAAUACCCCACCUUAACUUUUACGUUCAUUGC